AUUGAACGCUGGCGGCGGCCUAACACAUGCAAGUCGAGCGGAAACGAGUUAUCUGAACCUUCGGGGAACGAUAACGGCGUCGAGCGGCGGACGGGUGAGUAAUGCCUAGGAAAUUGCCCUGAUGUGGGGGAUAACCAUUGGAAACGAUGGCUAAUACCGCAUGAUGCCUACGGGCCAAAGAGGGGGACCUUCGGGCCUCUCGCGUCAGGAUAUGCCUAGGUGGGAUUAGCUAGUUGGUGAGGUAAGGGCUCACCAAGGCGACGAUCCCUAGCUGGUCUGAGAGGAUGAUCAGCCACACUGGAACUGAGACACGGUCCAGACUCCUACGGGAGGCAGCAGUGGGGAAUAUUGCACAAUGGGCGCAAGCCUGAUGCAGCCAUGCCGCGUGUAUGAAGAAGGCCUUCGGGUUGUAAAGUACUUUCAGUCGUGAGGAAGGCGGCGUCGUUAAUAGCGGCGUUGUUUGACGUUAGCGACAGAAGAAGCACCGGCUAACUCCGUGCCAGCAGCCGCGGUAAUACGGAGGGUGCGAGCGUUAAUCGGAAUUACUGGGCGUAAAGCGCAUGCAGGUGGUUUGUUAAGUCAGAUGUGAAAGCCCGGGGCUCAACCUCGGAAUAGCAUUUGAAACUGGCAGACUAGAGUACUGUAGAGGGGGGUAGAAUUUCAGGUGUAGCGGUGAAAUGCGUAGAGAUCUGAAGGAAUACCGGUGGCGAAGGCGGCCCCCUGGACAGAUACUGACACUCUGAUGCGAAAGCGGGGGGGAGCAAACAGG
rnacentral:rRNA from 1 species